UGAAGGAACAUUUAGCGGUCUGCAGACCUA
rnacentral:piRNA from 1 species